UCAUUUUUUUUAAUGGAAGAUUCUGUUGACAAAAGCUUCCAGUUAGCAUCUUUGCUACAAUUCUUCUCAAGGGGACAAAUAAUUAACAAUCCAGUGACUUGAUGCUCCUUGUUGAACUCUUUCAAGUCCAGAUUUGGGAACCUAUGCAUCGUGCUGAUUGGCCGCGGCUACACGUGUUUGCAUAAUUGUAUUGGCUGAAACGAAACUGGAAUGAUAAAAAUGACUAUGGGAUGCUAUGCUACUAUUCGGUGCAGGAAAGUUUGAGAUUCGAAGGGAAUGGAAUAUCGGAAUAUUAACCAAAGUAAAGGUGACAAGCCAGAUUCCCAAGUCAAGAAUGUUGCUUAUUCUUUCCUGCUCAGGGCCACAAAAAAUGGGUUCCUUCCUUUCCGUUUCCAUUCUUUAUUCUCUAUUUCGGAUUCCUCAUUUUUUGCUACAUUAUUACCUGAUAAGCAGAGUUUCUUUUUUUUUUCACAACACGAAUGAUCAUAUUUCAAAAUCUUCUCUCCAUCUUUUAGUUUAAGUGUGAAAAGGCCUUCAAAUGAUUAUAUUA